AUACUUACCUGGUAUAGGGGUUACCGUGAUCACAAAGGCGGUUCCCCCAGGGUGAGACCCUUCCAUUGCACUACGGUCGGGUUGACCCCUGCGAUUAUCCCUCAUGUGGAUAACUCGUAUACGCAAUUUUUGGUAGCCGGGACGUGCGUACGCGCACAGGGCUUUUCGG
rnacentral:snRNA from 1 species